CCCGGCAGCCCACGCGAUGACGCAGGCGCGCAGAGUCAAGCAUGCUCCGCCCCCUUGGCUGCAAAGCCAAGGGAGCCGCACUUCCGGGGCGGCCGGGUGUCUUGCUUGUGGUGGCAGCACUAAGCAUAAGUUCGGAGCAUGCCGAGGCAGGCGAGCGCUUCCCCCUUCCCUCCGUGAGGGUGCGCACAGGCCCAGCCACAGCUUGGGGACUCACGGGAGCUCUCGCCGCCUCCCUGGCCGCUCAGAGGCACACGGCGCCCGGUCCUCAGCUCUGGAAUUUGUGUCAUUGGCAAACGAAACAUCUCAGCUCGGAGAGGCAGCCUGUUCCGUGCAAGUUUAGGGGUACCCGGGGAGGCGGGUCUGGGGAGGAAAGGAUCAGGCACUUUUGGCUGUCGACCUUCCAAAUCCUCGGAGGCCUCUGUGCAUCUCUCCAGCCCCACUGGCCUCUCCCUUUUGGUUUUAUCCUACACGACUCUACGUGAAGGUCUUCGUUGAGAGGUUAGAUAUUUGCAGACAUACCGCCAAAAUUCCCUUGCCUCAAAGCAGCUUCAUGGGCUUCUUCUCUACGGCCCCAUUCCCCAAGGAAGUGGACAGGGUUUCCUGGCCUGACUUCAGGAACUCCUUGGGAAUCACGGGCGAGAAUAAACUAUUUUCUCCAAAAGACAGAACACUGUCGCAUCUGCUGUCUUGACAGAAAGCAGGAAGAUUCCCUUGUGGAGGCCCUCAGAAUUUUCUCAAGGUCUUGUGUUUAGGUGAGCCAUGGAAGUCUGCUAAGGUGCCCAACUUCAAAGGUCACCAGAGAAAUACAAAUGAAGAUCACACUGAGGCACCUUUUACACCCACUAAAAUGGCAAAAAAUAACUAAAUAUUGCAGAGAGUGAGGAGCAGCUGGGAACCUCCAUGCUGCUUCUGGGAGUAUAAAACGAUAUAAAUAUUUUGGAAAAUAACAUGAAUGCUUCUUUGAGGUCAAACUAACAGCUACCCUUGACCCCCUUGGUUGCUAUACCUUCUGUUACUAUGAUCUUCAGGUCAGACCGUCUUCCCUCUGCAGGCCCUGUCUGUGAAGUCAAAAGUCCAGGGACUGCCUGCUCGCUGGAAACUGCCCCUGAAUGUCUCAUGAGCACCUCUAACUUACCAUGUCAACGGAUGGGUGGUGUUGCCCUGUCCUCCCAAAGUGUGCCUCUCUCUGUCCUGUUGCCCACUUCUACUGGUUUGCCAGUACGCAGACCAAAUCUUUCCCCCUCACAGCUGCUUCUGUGUCCCAGCAGGGCUGCCACAGUUGGCUCUACCGAGCUUGUUGCGAACUGGUUUCCAGGCAGCCCAGCCACAGUGAUACUGUCAGGGCCGGGGGGCAGGUGAAGGGGCCUCCCUCUCACUGGGUCUCUGCCUCGUGGUCAGCGGAGAUUCCAGCUCUUCUAGGUCCCCUCCCUUGACUCCUGUAACAUGGCCUCCAGCCUCUGUCCCACCAAUCUGGAGGUGCUUUGGUCUCAGUUGCACACUUCUAGCUGGCAUCUCAGGGAGUUUGUCCCAUCAGGUUGUAACCACUCCCUGCACUCCUUUCCUAUUUUAAAAGUCAUACACAGUGGUUCUGGUGAUCACCUGUAUGGCCUGCAUCCUGGGGGCCUCUGCCCACCCGUGUAAAUCAGUCUACAGACCUCUGAAAUCCUCCCGUGCAGUUGCCCAAGCAAAGACCCUCUCUUGCUGUCUUUCCUGUUACUGGGAUAGCCAGGUGUAUGGCUCAAACUGACAAAUAGAUGGCAUAUUAAGGAGCCAAACCUGGACACGUUGCUCAUCUUAAUUGAAACUUCCCUGGCUUCUGAUGCUGACCGGGACACUGAGCUUCAUGGCAUGGACUCUAAUGGUCUUUGGGGCCUGGGCCUUACUGGCCAAUUUGUCUUAGUACCAGCCACUUCUGUUCUGGAACCUUUAGCAGGGCCCAAUCCAAAGCCUCAGUACCCAUCUCCAGUCAGGCUAUUUCCACUUCAGACUCAAGCCUGACCUUUGGCCUAGAAUUCCCCUUUCUACAUGUCCUGCAGUCCUUCUUUAGUCACCUCCUCCUCUGAGAAGUCUUCCUGGAUUUCCUCCAUCCUUGCUGUUACAUUGAAUUGUUCUGUGGACUCCGCCUUUCUCCUCAUCAUACCAAAGAGCCAAGACAAUGUUCCAUUCAUCUGAAUGUCCCUGGGUCCAGCCCAUAGCAGGUACACCAUGGAUAAGUGUUUAUGGAAGAGAAGCAAAUGAAAAAUAAAAUGUUUGAGAUAAGACAAUCGAAAAAUCUUCAAUCCUAAAAGAGAAAAUUGGGGGAAACAUUGAUGAUGAAGGGAAAAAAAAACUAUCCAAAAUUAACCACAUUGAAAGUUACUUAAAGAAGAAUUUAUACCAUCAGAGUAGUAAUACCGUCUCCCAGUGACUGCUCCCUGCCUUGGGGCUUGAGGCACCUUAGACCCGUGGAUGAUGGUAGAUGUGUACUAAUUCCUGGAGAGGCCCAGGCCACGUUUCUGAUGGUAAAUUAAUAACUUCCCUUUGUACCUCCAGUCAGGAGCUUGGCUUCCUCUGAGCUGCUCAUGUUGGGCACGCCCAAUCCAGACAGUUUGCUGGAACCUGCCCAGUAACUUCCAGUCCCUGAUCUGGCUGAACCCUUUGAGGAAAGGUCCUGUGGUGGGGCUGUUGGAUCCCCUCCCAUCAGUAUGCACAUUUCCACAGAUAGGUUCAGUGGUUUGGCCAAAAACCAGCACACAGGCCUUGCCUUGCAUGCAGGGUUAGGGUUGCAUUUGCCUACCUCCUCCUCCAUCACUCAUAGUAUGUUUUCAGUUUCUGAAGAGACCCCCUGCAAGCGCUGCUGGCACCUGUCCGCUACCGUCCCCUGCCCCUGCCCAGCUGCUCAGGAGCUGUCCCAAGGUGCAUUAACCCUGCCUGGGUUUUUUCAGAGGUGAUCCUGCCGUUGUUCCCAUCGUGGCUCACCCCUUUUCAUUCACCAGGUCCCUCAUACUCACUUGCAAACAGCGCUUGCUGGGUUUUGCAAAUUGUCCUUGCAGGUGAGUUUGGGUUCGUCAGGUUCCUUUGGUCUGUGUUUCCCUGGUUACACUUUGUGACAGCAUUAAUUUGUCCUGAUGUGUUAGUCUGCUUUUGCAAGCACUUGGCCGUCUGUGUUUGUCUCUAGGACUACAGUAUAGUGACUUUUCAGGAGUAUUCAAGGUCCUGGAUUUUGUCCGCAUCCUGACCAUCCCGGCAGUGCAUGCACUGGCCGAUUAGAUUUCUUCCUGCCUUGUCUCGGAAUGUCAGAGUGAGCUGGAUAGAGGCAGGGGCUAUCAAGGUAAGAUGACCUAAUAGUGGAGUCAGGUGUAACCUAAAGCUGACAGCUGGUGUCAGAAAAAGAGAGAGAGGACACCAAGAAGGGAAACCAUGUGAAGACAGGCAGCACUGGACCCUGCUGCAAGCUGAGGAAUGGCCACGGUCACCAAAAGCAGGAAACGAACACCCUACCCUAGAAUCUUCAGAGGGAGCACAAGCUGUUACACUUUGAGAUAACACUUCUGGCCUCCAGAACUUUGUUUUCUAUUUUUUUGAGGUCAAGUUUCACCACGUAACCCUAGCUAACCUCCAACUUGUGAUCCUUUUGCCUCAACCUUCCAAGUGCUGGGAUCCCUGGCAUGUGCCAGCAUACCUAGCAUCUCAUUUUUAAGCUAUUGGGCCUGUGGCCAUCCCUUUAGCAACCACAGGAAACGGAUCCGGUCCAGACUCAUGGGUCAAUCGGUUGAAGGGAUAAAGGUGGGGGUGGAGUGAAAUGAGGGCUUCUGAAGGCUGUCACCAGGACCUUGCAAGGGGAGGUUUUCUUGAGGCCCCUGAACAGCCACACCUAACAGGAAAGCUGGACACCAUGCCAACAGUCACUUGUUCACUCGCAAAGUGUGAGGAAAGCCUGCCCUGCAUAGAGCAGCAGGCUCCUGGGUCCCUCAUCUGCUGCUCAGACCAAACUGCAUGCUUUGGAUGUGGCUGAUGGUCCCAUCUGUUCAGCAGUGCAGGGCUUGAAUGAGAUCUGCCCAUCUGCAUUGUUCCAGCAGCCUGGCUAAGGUAAAAGAUGGGGGCUGGGGUGACCCGUGUGCUUAGGGAAAGUGGAGGGAGGCCCUUACACCACCGUUCCGUUACUGCUGCUAACAGUAGCUGGCACACACCUGUAAUCCCAGCCCUCUGGGAUGCUCAGGCAGGAGCGUCUCAAGUUCCAGCCCAGCUUGGGCAAAUUUGGGACUUUGCAAGAUCUUGCCUCACAAUUAAAAAAUAAAGGGGUGAGAGUGUAACUCCUUGUGAAGGCACUGAGUCUGGGAAAAUAAUAAAGAACUUUCUCUGCUGCCCAACAGCUUUCUCAUAACUUUUCCAUCCUGUCUAAUUUCGAACAAAACAAAAACACAAAACCCCUAAAUGGUAGGUAGCUAGGCCCAAAGAGCACAGGCCACUGGCAGGCAGUGGCCAGGAGGGGGCGCCACAUGAAAACCUCACAGGAGGUCUUGCCAUAGAGACUGCUGACAUGCUUCGAGAAAGGCAGGACAUAGUUUAUGUGUUAGUAAUCUGUAUUUAUGUAGUUAGUGUUAGUAAUCUGUAUUUAUGUAGUAAAUCUAAUUUUAAUACAGUGCACCUUCCACCAGUGGUUGGAGAUACCAACCUCAGUCAUUGGGGGCUCCUUGCCUGCUUGGAUUGGGUAAAUGAACCCUUGGGCUGAUCCAGUCUGCAGGGUCCCCCAGGCUGUCAGUUGUUUGCAGGGGAAGCCCCUAGACUCCUAAGCCUGGGGACACGUAGCAGCCCCUCAGACCUUGCCACCCCAGCAGCUUGUGCUCAGGUUGCAGGACCCUUCCCUUAGUGGGUUUGGCAGGACUUCUUUCUACAUGGGGCUUGGCUUCCCCUAGGCACACACUCCCAGGCACACACUUGCACAUAUCUGCAUGGUAUUCACACCUUUCAUGCACUCAUUUUCUUUCACACACCCAGGUGAUACGCCUCCAUCCCACACUGAUACUUUCAGAGCUCUCUUGCCUGCUCUUGCACCCCUACCCAGCCUUGUCACUGUGGCCUCUGGCCAUGCUGCCACCCUCCUGCCAGGGCCUUCACCUUAGGACCCUUUGGCCUGAUCUGCCUCUUCUCUACACUUCUGCACUCUCCUGCUCUUUCUCCCAGCAGGACCUGAAGGUGCUGUGGGAAGUGCUUGCCAGGCAGCUCCAGCCAGAGCCCAGGAGCCUCUUCUCUUCCCUCUGGGGAAGAUCCAAGGCUCUGGCACACAGUGCCCUCUUUGUCCUCCUAAGGUGACAACCCUUCACAUGACCCCGUGGCACCAAGCAGUAGGAGGUCUUGGCUAGCAAGGAUGCAGGUUGAUGGCAUGCAGGGAAUGAUCAGAGUCAAGUCUGCAUAAUUAAGGUGAAGACCGAUGCGCCAUGAAGACGGGGAGCUGACUGUGGGAAGAACAAGGAAUGAAUUUCUGAGGGGAGGGAGCAGCAUGGGCAGAGGACUCCAGGUGGACCUGAGUCCAGAAGAGGUGGCCACCAGAAGGGGUGCUGACUGCAGAGCCCAGGGGGAGAGGCCAGGCUGGCUGUGUGGGAGGCCGAAGCCGGGACCAUGCACCCAGUGGGCAGGGCAACUGGGUCACCACAGGUUGCCCUGCCCUGUGGGGUUCCCCAGAUCCCUUCCCACAUGUGUUGAUGGUUCACAUGUCAUGAUUUCUAAUGUGAUUUAUUUUCUUACUGUAAAAUAAACUGACCUUGUUACUUUGAA